UACGUAGGGGGCGAGCGUUGUCCGGAUUUAUUGGGCGUAAAGAGCGUGUAGGCGGCCAGGUAGGUCUGCUGUGAAAACUCGAGGCUCAACCUCGAGACGUCGGCGGAAACCAUCUGGCUAGAGUCCGGAAGAGGAGAGUGGAAUUCCUGGUGUAGCGGUGAAAUGCGCAGAUAUCAGGAAGAACACCCGUGGCGAAGGCGGCUCUCUGGGCCAUAACUGACGCUGAGAAGCGAAAGCAUGGGGAGCGAACAGG
rnacentral:rRNA from 1 species